rnacentral:rRNA from 1 species
AUGAAGCCUUUCGGGGUGGAUUAGUGGCGAACGGGUGAGUAACACGUGGGCAAUCUGCCCUGCACUCUGGGACAAGCCCUGGAAACGGGGUCUAAUACCGGAUAAUACCUUCCCUCGCAUGGGGGUGGGUUCAAAGCUCCGGCGGUGCAGGAUGAGCCCGCGGCCUAUCAGCUUGUUGGUGAGGUAGUGGCUCACCAAGGCGACGACGGGUAGCCGGCCUGAGAGGGCGACCGGCCACACUGGGACUGAGACACGGCCCAGACUCCUACGGGAGGCAGCAGUGGGGAAUAUUGCACAAUGGGCGAAAGCCUGAUGCAGCGACGCCGCGUGAGGGAUGACGGCCUUCGGGUUGUAAACCUCUUUCAGCAGGGAAGAAGCGCAAGUGACGGUACCUGCAGAAGAAGCGCCGGCUAACUACGUGCCAG